CCUACGGGUGGCUGCAGUGAGGAAUAUUGGUCAAUGGGCUUACGCCUGAACCAGCCAAGUCGCGUGAGUGAAGACUGCCCUAUGGGUUGUAAACCCCUUUUGUCAGGGAGCAAUUGGCGAUACGUGUAGCGUUAUCGAGAGUACCUGAAGACAAAGCAUCGGCUAACUUCGUGCCAGCAGCCGCGGUAAUACGGAGGAUGCGAGCGUUAUCGGGAUUUAUUGGGGUUAAAGGGUGUACAGGCGGCGAGUUAAGUCAGCGGUAAAAUGUCGGGGCUCAACCCCGACAAGCCGUUGAAACUGGCUUGCUAGAGUGGGCGAGAGGUAUGCGGAAUGCGUGGUGUAGCGGUGAAAUGCAUAGAUAUCACGCAGAACUCC
rnacentral:rRNA from 1 species